rnacentral:lncRNA from 1 species
UAAAUUUCAACAUUUAAGAGGUAAAAAAUAUCACCAUCAAGUACACUCUACAAUAUGGUAGCAUCAAUAAGAUAUUUGUAAUUUAGAAGUGGAAAAGAACUUGUUAAUCACAGGUUUGAAAAAAUUCUGGUAUACAUGAAACUCAUGUAGUCCAUGACAAAACAUGAAGCGAGAAACAGAGAAAAUGCAUAUGUUCUGAUUGCCUGGAGAUUUAAAAAAUCACCAGGCAGUUUCAAAGUGUGAAUUCACCAUGUUUACCUGUAGCACCUCAUAGUUUAAAAAAAUUCAUGUGAUGACAUGCCAAUUCUCCUAAAGUCUAAUUCAUGAUUCUGUAAGAAUAGCCAGCGGCAAAUGUACGAGCCAACAGAAUAAAGCCGGAAGGCAGUUGCCAUGGUUCAUGCCCACCACGCAGCCACAGUGUUGACCCGGAGCUCCUACUGGACCGAGCACGGCGCCUCUCCAUGAUAUCUGGGCCACCCCUAUAACCUUCUGCUCCAGGCAGAAAUUAUUUAUCGUUAUAAACAAAAAAUGCAGUUAGAUUCUGACCACAAAAGGUACAUUUUUUAAGUAUGUAAAGUUUGCUCUCAGGUAGAUACACAUAUAUGGGUAACAAGUCCAUUCUAGCAAGAUAGAGAGUUGUAGAACAAUUUGUUUUUAAGGAUUUGAAGCUAGAAACAUGAAGACGUGAGGCAUGUUAGAAAUUUUAGCUAUUAUCAAAUUUAGGUGGAUUAACAUUAGAUUGCACCAAUUAUUAAAUAAUGUGUAAUAGUGCAAAAUAUUCUAAUAAUUCAGAAAUUUUAUGGCAUUGUAAUUACCAUAGUAAGUAUUGUUGCUAAUCUGUGCCAAUAUAUUGAAAUACUCUAUUCAAAACAGUUAACAUUUUCAACCUUCAGUGUACAACCAACAGUAUCAGCCUCAUCGCGAUGCGCUAAAGAAUUGAAGUAGCAUCAAAACACAUGUCGACAAAAGUCAAAGUUGAAUAGCAUCCUGAUAUUGUCAUUUGUCAUGGCCAUAAAUAAUGGAGGAUGACAACCCCACCUAGCGCAGAGCCUACUUUGCAAAAUAAUACAAAUUUUAGCGGAAAGGUAUAACAUAAAGGUAUUUUCCAACAAUCGUCCAAAAAUAUGCAACAUCUCUAGAGAUAUGUCACUGAUGCAACUAACCAACUAAAAUAAGAAAUCUCAAUCAAUUUUGGAUUACGAACUUUUGCUCCAUCAUUCGUGGUUUGUGGGGUUGCAGAUUUGCCUGAUGUGUACUGCGUAACUGAACUUGAUAAAGCUCGCCACAUCAAGAGCGAAAUGAUUUUUUUUGUAGAUGCAGCUACAGUUUGAUUUGGUUUGCUUCUGUGCAUGUUCCGAGGCAUUGUGCCAAUAAAUCAGGUGGUUCUAGAGAAGUAAAAAUCGAUGAAACAACACCAUUGGUCAACUGCAUAAAAUAUGUUCCGAUAUAUGAUUGUAAUAUUCUAACAUCGCUUUAUUUCCUUCCUUUACCUCACAUUGUAAUGCUGAGACAAACUAUAUGACCUCAGCUGAUCUCUGGUCCCCAUGGCAAUUGGGGUAUCUCUAUCCUCCUCUCACCACAAUGCAAAACUCCAAAAGACACAGAAAAAGGGAGGGACCAAAACAUACUCACUCAUUGAAGUCUCUUAGCUAAUUCGAGAAACUAAAAAAGGCCAAAAGGAGGUGUCCAUUAAAACACUAGCAAGUACCACUAUAUCUAGCUCUCUUUCUCCAGGGCUUGCUGAAGAGAUUGGCUUCUAACAAACCUUCCCCGAAACAACAAAAAACUGAGAACAUGAGUAAACAUGUGGACUCUCUUUCGGAAAAGUAGAUACGUCGGCGAUGGUGAUCUGGUGUGAGGAGUGAGCUUUUCUGGUGCCCGGCUUACAAAUAUUAUAGACGUUUUUAUUCCUUCAAGCAUCAGUUCUAUUAGAAUUCCCGUGUACAUAUAGAACAAUUUCUAACUGUUAUUCACCCACAUGUUUACCAGAAUGUAAAAGAGAUAAAAAAGAACUCUUAGAGCUAAAAUGAGCUCGUGUAAUCUAGGCAGUAGGUUUGCUGGGACUCACUAUUUAGUUUGUUUCCUUACAAACUAAUUUCAGCACUUCCAUUUUUAUUGGUGACUGGAGUAUCAGUGAUGUACUCUUAAAAGGUGCGUACUUCAAUCUAGCAUAUCAAACAUCAUCUGCCUCCUAAACAUUUAAAAGCAAGUAAAAUUUGAGUUUGGGUGUAUGGUCUGAUUACCUCAGAUCCCAAUGAAUCAUUGCAUAACCAAGCCCAUGUCUGAUUUGAUAAAUCUUCUAUAGUUUCUUAUCCCUGUUAACUGUGCCUGCCUAGCAACUCUGAAUCUUCAACUACAACAACAAUCAAAGCUUUGUCCUCAAAUUGUUUUCAGUAAUUACUGCAGAAAUAUCAGAUGAUGAGGCUUGUGCAUAACCACUAAAUACACAAUAAGAAGCAGGCCAAAGAAAGCCACCUAGGAGUAUGGCUGGAUGAACACCUAAUUUCACUGGAGCUGGUGCUCAGAAAUUGAUGAACGGAGACACCACAAUGCAGGUCGCAACUCGAAAGAAUUAUCUUAUGGAUUUCACAUGUUAAGCAAGAAUACCAGAGGCACGGCUUACCUUGGCUUCAUCUUUGUCAGCCCUGUCAUCUUAGUCCAGGUGGUCACAGCAAAAAUUCCACAACUUUCACCCCGUUCCAAUCAAUGAGAGGGCGGACUUCAAGAACCUGGUAGUUACACACGGAUGAACUUUUUCUUAGUCCUAUGAAACGAUAAACAAAGAGAGGAUAAGUGUCCAAGUGAAAAUUUCUAAAGAAUUAUUUCCAAUAGAAAACUGAAAGGAAGUUAGAUGUAGACUCACAUGUCGUGCAACGUUUCGGUAAUGCACACACACACACACACAAAACUUGUUAUGUUCCAUUCUCGCACCGUCAAUGUCCUCUCUCACUAAGAUUUUUGAACACCUGGUCAGCAACCAAGGUGAGCAACCUAAACCAUAUGGUGUAACCUGGUUCUUUUUUAACCUUUAGACAUUGAUACAUACCUCAACAAUUGUGUAUUGGAAGAGAUUAACCUCUUUACCCUGUGAAUAAAAGCAAGUGAACAACCAAGAUUAGGAAAUAGAAGAACAGAUUGUGCUGUCACAAAAUACCGAAAGUUGCUUCACCUCUGAAAAGUGAUAAUGCAUUGAAUUUUCAUAUCACUAACAAAAGCCAAAGCAAUGUUUUCUCCAUCCAAUCUACUACAGGGAACAUGUACCGAAUGAUGAAGGAAGUGUUUUAGAGAUUUAUUUAGCAAUUGGCAACUAGAGGUUCUUAAUUUUCUCAAGGACAUGUAGUGUCAGUUCGACUCUUUUCUCAUUCUCACAUAUCAUAUACUCCCACUGUCUCAAAAUAUAAGACGUAAUAUUUUCAGACAGAGGGAGUAUUUCACGAAGAUUGAACUCGAGUGAUAAAUCUUUAUCCUAUCAAGUUCUAUGGUGUUUGCAAAAUAUCAGCCCAUAAGAGGUUACAACAUAUGAAAAUGUUGAUAAUUAUGAGAGGAGUCCAGAAGUUCACAUUCUACAGAGAACCAUAGUUCACACUUGUCAAUGUAUUAAACUUUCAUAUGCAUUACAUAAGAUGCAACAUAAGUAGAGAAAAACUAAAUAAAAUAUUUAAAAUGGAAAUUGUAUGCCUAAGAAAGAAAUGAGUGGGAAAAUGCGGCAGUGGCAAGUUAGUACUACCUGGUUCAUGGUGUUGUGCGGACUGCAGUUAAGUCGCCUCUCCUCGUCGUCUCAAUAUUCCCUCUACUAAUCUACAAUGCAAGCGCCGUGACACCUGAGAAGUCACCCGCGAGCAACCUACUAUUCCAACACCAAACAAAAUGAGAGCUAUAUCCUAC